AGCUCCUUGAUCUUUGUUUGAAACAGUCACCAGCAGAUUCACAUCUAGUGAGGGUAGCGGCUUGUGCUUCAUUGUCUGAUAUAUUUAUAAGGUUAAGUAGAUAUCCUAAGAUCAAGAAAGAAUCAUCUUCCUGUGCUGUUAAAGUUGUUCAGCCUACAUUGAAGAUGUUGACUGAUGAGAACUCAGAGGCAAUAUGGGAUGCUGCAGUUCAUUUGUUAUGCACCAUAGCAACCUCAUUUCCAUUUUCGAUUCGUAGUCAUUAUGAUGGUGUUGAAUCUGCUAUCGCUUUAAAACUUUUGUCUGGAGGAUGCAGUCUUGAUAUGUCGCAGGUAAUAUGCUCA